ACCAGCCUGGGGAGCAUGAAGUUUUCCUGAGGCACAAGCCCAUGGAUAUUGAGGAAACAGUCAGGAAGCAUCAUCCCAGAAAACCAUCUUAAACAGAGCCAGACUCAGAGGUGGCCUUUCUCUCCUCUCCCCAAAUCACCGGAGGCAAUUGCAGGUGUGAUGGGCUCACCAGCAUCACAUGGAACAGAUCUGGAACGAGAGGGGGACCCGGCACUGCUGUUGAGCUAACGGCAGCACACCAGGACCUUGGUACACUUGAGAAGAGAAACUUCCUGGUUUCUGUGCGAAGGGUGUCAUCAUGAUUUGUCAUAAAUGAACCAUCCUGUUCCCAGCUUUCAUUUUCCAGUUUUCAGUACACCUGUGGCAUCACUUGCUCUAGAAAAACAGCCAGAGUCCAGGUCAGAUUUUGAGAGAACUUUGAGAGACAAUUUUACUAAAAGUCAAGAAGUACUUUUUUGGCUGCAGCCAAAGGCUUUUCCUUUCUUUCUGAGUCCAACUGGUGAGUUUCCUGACUUUGUCAUGGCUCUGAAGUCCACCUGCAGGCAUCUGCUUGACUCCUUCUGUUGGAGCAUGGUCCUGCCAUUUUCCCAGAGGGCAUCUACAUGAGGAACUGGGUCUGGCCCUCCUUCAGCAGUGCUCUUUCCAUGUGCUUUCCCACUUUCUUUUUCCAUAUGAGCAAAGAAACAAAGGUCUUCGCUCCUAGUGCUGGGACUUGUAUUUAUCCUCAUGUUACAGGAAAUGUAAGGUUGCAAAAUAUUGUGGAGUUUUGUCCAAAGUCUUUACCAUAAUGAGGAUAAAAACAUUCCAGUUGGCCUCCCUGUUCAGCAUGAUUUUAGUACAAUAUUUGAAUAAGGGCAUAUUUUCAAUCCAUGGCCCUUCCACUGGUCCACUUUUCAAGGUCCAAAAAUGCAAGCUUCUUUUUCACAAUAGUAAGAUGCUUUAAAAAAAAAAAACCCAAACAAAACCAAACACCCCCCCUAAAAAAAAACAAACACAAAAAAAACCCCAAACACAAAAAAAUAGCCAGAAAGAAAACCCAAGGAAAAAAAUUAAUUCCAUUUUCCUUUUCAGAAAAAAGUAUGAAAACAAAUGCGUAAGGAAUAUGAUGGAAAACCACAGCUUUUGUGUGGGAUAGGCUUCUGCAGCUGAAAUACCAAAUUCUGCAUCAGUCUGAACUACCGUCAAUCAUCUGUUAACCAAAAAUAUUUGGUUGUUUCUGCAGCUGACUAGGUUUUUUUACACCCCUCCCCUGCAACUGGCAGACGACUAGCAGCAUUAGGAGCCCAGGAGGAGACGGGUUUGGGGAAGAGGCAUGAGUGUCAUGGUGGUGAUGCCAUGGGUGUAUGAGAAGUACGGUGCAGAAGAAGCAGGAGCAACGAGCACUGCUGGAAAUGCCUGAUCGUGUGGGACUGGUAAUGUGGGAGCCUCACACCAGCAUGGGGUGAAAUAAAAGGACUUCGUGAUGAAACUGGAAAUUGUCAAAAAGGCUGACGUUCAACUAGGCGGUGGGAUCAAUGGAGGAGCUCUUGAGAAAAGUGUGCUGUGACCUCUGACAUUUCAUCCCUUAUCAGGUUUAAGGCAGUGUCUUUUGUGGCACAGUUAUGUGGUGAGGCAAGGUGGUUUUGGUGAUAAGCCUUAUUCUAGUGACCUCAUUUUUGUUGGAUUUCUUCGCUUGGAAGAAUUGCUAAUAGGUGUGCUGAGGAGCAGCGCUGCAAUGCUAAGAAGAUGCCAAGAGAAAACUGGGUUUUCAUUGAGGCGCUGAUGAUAUGGCAGUGACUACACGACUUGUGGGUGUUCAGGGUCAGAAGAAGUUGCAGCCGCCCCUUCUCAGGAGGAAAGACAAGCAGAAGCUGAAACACCCAAGCUGCAAUCAGUGGCAGAACAUCACUCCAGGAAGCAUCAUGCCUCUUCAGUGGGUGUUGGCUUUCUAAGGCACCUCAAAUACUCUGCCAGGUUGCUUUGGCAGCUCUCUAACUCCUGGCCGUGGUGGGACACCACUGCGGAUGGGACACACAGCCCCAAGGAAUUUCACAGGCGUAAUGUCUCUCAGGACAGAGGAUGGGCAUGUCUGGGCACUGGAAAAAGGCGGUCAGUGGGAAGGUGGUGAUGUCCCUUGUGUGAGCCAGGAAGGCUGCCAGCUCUGUCGAACCAGCAGGAGCCAGGUGGGGGAUGAUGGACUGGUGGGGGUCCCUGGCCCCCAGCCAGCUGAGGCCUCGCCUUGUCACAUCACAGAGCAUCACUUGCAGGCAAGACCAGCUGAUAAUCUUCUGCAGCCCUGAGGGCACCCAGACCCGUAUAGAGAUGGGUGCCAACACACCCACUUACCAGGCAGGAGACGCUGACCUGCCACAAUGUCCUGAGCUGUAGCUUUCUUCAACAGAAUCACAGGAAAUCACUUUCCUCUCCCAAAUAUAACCCUGUGAGCCCAGGGAGACGUAAUGCUGGCAGGCGUGCUGCCCAGCUCCUAGCCCGCCUGGCCACCAGGAUGACUGCCAUGGGGGUGAUAACUCACCUUGUCUCUCAGGGGUGGCUCAGAUUACAGCCAAAAAAAAAAAGAUUAUUUUUGUCUGCUCUGUUGGUCUCCAGGCCCAACAAUUUUAUGUGAUGUGUUACCUGCUAGGCACUCUCGUAUGACUCAAGACCACAAAAAUAAUAAAAAAAACCUA